rnacentral:rRNA from 1 species
CCAGACUCCUACGGGAGGCAGCAGUGGGGAAUAUUGCACAAUGGGGGAAACCCUGAUGCAGCAACGCCGCGUGAGUGAGGAAGUAUUUCGGUAUGUAAAGCUCUAUCAGCAGGGAAUAGAAAAGAAGGUACCUGAAAAAGAAGCCCCGGCUAAAUACGUGCCAGCAGCCGCGGUAAUACGUAUGGAGCAAGCGUUAUCCGGAUUUACUGGGUGUAAAGGGAGCGUAGGCGGCCUGCCAAGUCUGAUGUGAAAUACCGGGGCUCAACCCCGGGGCUGCAUUGGAAACUGGCAGGCUGGAGUGUCGGAGAGGCAGGCGGAAUUCCUAGUGUAGCGGUGAAAUGCGUAGAUAUUAGGAGGAACACCAGUGGCGAAGGCGGCCUGCUGGACGAUGACUGACGCUGAGGCUCGAAAGCGUGGGGAGCAAACAGGAUUAGAUACCCCUGUAA